rnacentral:lncRNA from 1 species
AUUUUGUAUCUUAUUGUUUAAAAAUUCGUACCCAGCCCACGAUGAAUGCAGCACCUAAUCAUGGAAUGCAAGCUUCAAGUUCAUUAUCAACAAAGCAUAUGUUUAAAAAAUGAGGAUAAUUUAUCUCCUAAACAUAAAUUAGGGAAAUUAGACAGUACAUAAAACAUAAAACAUAGCCUAAAAAUCAAUUUGAAAUCAAAAGUAAAAAAGAAGAAAAACGCUAACCUUGGAGACCGGGAGAGGGAGGGAGGGAGGGAGGAGGGAGGAGGGAGGAGGCAGAGAGGGGAGAGGGAGGAGGGAGGAGGCAGAGACCGGGAGAGGGAGGGAGGGAGGAGGGAGGAGGCGGAGGAGGCGGAGACCGGGAGAGGGAGAGGGCGAUUGGGAGACCAAGAGAGGGAGAGGAGGUGGAGGAGGCGGAAGAGGAGGCUAGGGUUUUUCUGCUGUCGAGCGCAAGUUAAACCCGACAACUUUAGCCGACGAAAUUAUUAUUUCGUCGGCUAAAGCUAAGAAUCUCGUCGGCUAAAUCUUCGAAAUUCGUCGGCUAAACGUUUGAAAUUCGUCGGCUAACCUUUGAAAUUCGUCGGCUAAAGUACUUUUAUACAUUUGGCACAUUGUGAUUGUGAUGAUCAAACUUGAGAAACAGAAAUCCGACCGUCAGAUCUGACCACCAUGACAAAAUACAUGUAUAGGCAAAACUUCAACUUGAUCCGACAAGAAUAAAGGCUCGAUCCGGACGGUCAAUCUCUAAGUCAAACCCCUAAACGCACGGAAAAGGUCGUUCGACCGUUUAAAUUACGUAUUUUGGCCGGACCUUCAACUGAAAAUAGUUUUAAAUCGAUGACACGGAACAAGUCGUAUAAAAAUUUUACGCAAAAUAACCACCGAAGAUAGGGCUACUCAUAGGGGAAAAGAAUGAAAAAUUGCAUUGACCGCAACUAUCGGCACCGAAUAUUUACCGGAAUAGUGUGAUUUUUCAACCGUGGAUGUAUUUCACCAUUCUCGUCAUAUCUAAUUUCACGACUUUUUGCGUUUGAAAGUUUUACGUAUAGUUUGUUUUUGAAACGGAACAUUUACAUAAUACUAGGUAAACAAGUUAUACAACAUUAGUAGGCAUGUUGUGAUUGCGAUGAUCAAACUUGAGAAACAGAAAUCCGACCGUCAGAUCUGACCAUCAUGACAAAAUACAUGUAUGGGAAAAAAUUCAACUUGAUCCGACAAGGUUAAGAGCUCGAUCCGGACGGUCAAUCCCGUAAGUCAAACCCCUAAACGCACGGAAAACGUCAUUCGACCGUCUAAAUUACGUAUUUUGGCCGGACCUCCAACUAAAAAUAGUUUAAAACCGAUGAGACGCAAGAAGUCGUCUAAAAAUUUUAUGGAAAAUAACCACCAAAGAUAGGGCUAUAGUAUGUAAUAGAAAAAUUUUAGGGUUUAGCCGACGAAUACCCUAACGUAUUCGUCGGCUAUAGUGUGUAAUUAAAAAAUUAAAAAAUAACUAAAGCCGACGAAAUAUUAGGUUAUUCGUCGGCUAAAACCAUCUUAGCCGACGAAAUAUAUAC